rnacentral:rRNA from 1 species
UACGUAGGGGCAAGCGUUGUCCGGAAUCAUUGGGCGUAAAGAGCGUGUAGGCGGUCCGGUAAGUCCGUUGUGAAAGUCAAGGGCUCAACCCUUGAAUGCCGGCGGAUACUGCCGGGCUAGAGUCCGGAAGAGGAGAGUGGAAUUCCUGGUGUAGCGGUGAAAUGCGCAGAUAUCAGGAAGAACACCAAUGGCGAAAGCAGCUCUCUGGGACGGUACUGACGCUGAGACGCGAAAGCGUGGGGAGCGAAC